CCAACUCAGGUCAUGUGUGCACAUCAGAACCAGGACAGGGCAUGCUCAGUCUCAACAGGGCGCACUUGGAUCUGGGGACUGGGUAACUGCUUGGAUAGCCAGCGUUCUUCUGGGCUCAGAUAAAUCUCUUAAGUAAAAAAACAAAAGAGAAUGAAAGAAAAAAAAGAAAAUCUGCAAAACAAUAAAAAUGUGAAAUAAGAAAUCAAGUCCAGGGCUCGGAAGAGAGCUGGUCCGUUAGGCGGCUCCACCGUGGGUCCCUCCUGGCUGCGCUCAGUGCCAAGUCCGUUUGUGCGCUCUCAUUGAGCCCGAACAAGGACUGCGGUGCAGCUGCUAAUGAUGUCGUGUCAAAACUGAAGCGAGGACACCAUAGUGAUGGGAGCUGACUGCCAGAGAACCCUGCGGGGCGAAAUCCCGCCUGAAAGCACAGGAAAGUGACACUAACAAGUUCGUGCCCAAAUACCCAUUGGGGAGAAGACAGACUGCGUUACGGAUCAAUAUAAAAAAGAGAAAAUGCAAAUCAGUCGUCCUCCAGGGACUAAACAAAUUAUAUUAAACCAACAAAUAAUUACCGGUCCUCUGUAUUUGCAGCGCCCAGUGCUGGAAGCUGGAGAGGCAGCUGGGGAGCGGGCGAGGGGGGAACCCGAUUGCAGACUGGGGUUCAAGGCUCAGUUCUAAGGGUUGAUGCAAAAUUUGGCAAAGCGGCAUGCUUUUCUGUGAAGCUGCGACACAUUUGUAAAGCACAGAAAAUAAUGUUAGCCUUAAGUGCAGUGUGGAGAACACUGAUGAGAAAAAUCCGAUGUAAACUCUUGGGGGCGGAAGGAACAGGCAGAAACUCCCUUAGGAAAACAAGAGAAAGUUAAUUAAGAGAUUAAGAGAUUAAAACAUUUUGAUAGAAGAUCAUUGGUGUUGGUAAUUGUGAUCCUCAAAAGGUAUGACAGUUGAAAUGCCUUGUAAAUUGUAAGAGAAAAGCUAAUUUCUGUUUGUGUAGUUUUUGUUAGGUUCAUUUCAUUAUGUAUUCCUGACAGGCUGUCUAUGUGGAGUAUGUACCAUAUCAUAAAUAUUUAAUUAUCUGAAAAUUAAA